AAUUUUCCGCAAUGGGCGAAAGCCUGACGGAGCAAUACCGCGUGAGGGAAGAAUGCCUGUGGGUUGUAAACCUCUUUUCUCAGGGAAGAAUUUUGACUGUACCUGAUGAAUAAGCAUCGGCUAACUCCGUGCCAGCAGCCGCGGUAAUACGGGGGAUGCAAGCGUUAUCCGGAAUCACUGGGCGUAAAGCGUCUGUAGGUGGUUUAGUAAGUCUGCUGUUAAAUAUUAGGGCUCAACCCUAAAACAGCAGUGGAAACUACUAGACUAGAGUAUGGUAUGGGCAAAGGGAAUUCCCAGUGUAGCGGUGAAAUGCGUAGAUAUUGGGAAGAACACCAGUAGCGAAAGCGCUUUGCUUGACCUUAACUGACACUCAGAGACGAAAGCUAAGGUAGCGAAUGGGAUUAGAUACCCCAGUAGUCUUAGCCGUA
rnacentral:rRNA from 1 species